CUGCCCGGUGANUUUUUUAACGGCCGCGGUACUCUGACCGUGCAAAGGUAGCAUAAUCAUUUGCCUUAUAAUUGAAGGCUGGUAUGAAUGGUUUGACGAGAAUAUAACUGUCUCUUUACAAUUUGAUAGAAUUUUAUAUUUAGGUGAAAAAGCCUUAAUUUAAUUAAAAGACAAGAAGACCCUAUCGAGCUUAAGAGAAAUUAGCAGAUGUAUAGAUUUUUGGUUAAAAAAUAUAACUGUUAAACAUUUUUGGUUGGGGCGACUGAGGAACAUGAGAAGCUUCCUUUUAUAAUCUUUUAUAUACGAAUUAUUGAUCCACAGUUAGUGAUUAAAGGAAUUAGUUACCGUAGGGAUAACAGCAUAAUCUUUUUUGAGAGUUCUUAUCGAAAAAAGGGUUUGUGACCUCGAUGUUGGACCAGAAUAUCCUAAAGAUGUAGAAGUCUUUAAGGGUUGGUCUGUUCGACCAUUAAAAUUCUA
rnacentral:rRNA from 1 species